rnacentral:rRNA from 1 species
AGCAGCCGCGGUAAUUCCAGCUCCAAUAGCGUAUAUUAAAGUUGUUGCAGUUAAAAAGCUCGUAGUUGAACUUCAGGCCUGGCUGGACGGUCCGCCCUCUGGGUGAGCACUGUCUGUGGUCGGGUCCUACCUUCUGGCGAAGCGGCAUGGCCUUAACCGGCCGUGGCGGGGAACCAGGACUUUUACUGUGAAAAAAUUGAGUGUUCAAAGCAGGCACGCGCUUGAAUACAUUAGCAUGGAAUAAUGGAAUAGGACAAUGGUUCUAUUUGUUGGUUCCUAGGACCGUUGUAAUGAUUAAUAGGGAUAGUUGGGGGCAUUAGUAUUCAAUUGCCAGAGGUGUAAUUCUUGGAUUUAUUGAAGACUAACUACUGCGAAAGCAUUUGCCAAGGAUGUUUUCA